GAAACCCGGUGAUCUAGCCAUGGGCAGGUUGAAGGUUGGGUAACACUAACUGGAGGACCGAACCGACUAAUGUUGAAAAAUUAGCGGAUGACCUGUGGCUGGGGGUGAAAGGCCAAUCAAACCGGGAGAUAGCUGGUUCUCCCCGAAAGCUAUUUAGGUAGCGCCUCGUGAAUUCAUCUCCGGGGGUAGAGCACUGUUUCGGCUAGGGGGCCAUCCCGGCUUACCAACCCGAUGCAAACUGCGAAUACCGGAGAAUGUUAUCACGGGAGACACACGGCGGGUGCUAACGUCCGUCGUGAAGAGGGAAACAACCCAGACCGCCAGCUAAGGUCCCAAAGUCAUGGUUAAGUGGGAAACGAUGUGGGAAGGCCCAGACAGCCAGGAUGUUGGCUUAGAAGCAGCCAUCAUUUAAAGAAAGCGUAAUAGCUCACUGGUCGAGUCGGCCUGCGCGGAAGAUGUAACGGGGCUAAACCAUGCACCGAAGCUGCGGCAGCGACACUGUGUGUUGUUGGGUAGGGGAGCGUUCUGUAAGCCUGCGAAGGUGGCCUGUGAGGGUUGCUGGAGGUAUCAGAAGUGCGAAUGCUGACAUAAGUAACGAUAAAGCGGGUGAAAAGCCCGCUCGCCGGAAGACCAAGGGUUCCUGUCCAACGUUAAUCGGGGCAGGGUGAGUCGACCCCUAAGGCGAGGCCGAAAGGCGUAGUCGAUGGGAAACGGGUUAAUAUUCCCGUACUUGGUGUUACUGCGAAGGGGGGACGGAGAAGGCUAUGUUGGCCGGGCGACGGUUGUCCCGGUUUAAGCGUGUAGGCUGGUUUUCCAGGCAAAUCCGGAAAAUCAAGGCUGAGGCGUGAUGACGAGGCACUACGGUGCUGAAGCAACAAAUGCCCUGCUUCCAGGAAAAGCCUCUAAGCAUCAGGUAACAUCAAAUCGUACCCCAAACCGACACAGGUGGUCAGGUAGAGAAUACCAAGGCGCUUGAGAGAACUCGGGUGAAGGAACUAGGCAAAAUGGUGCCGUAACUUCGGGAGAAGGCACGCUGACACGUAGGUGAAGUGAUUUACUCAUGGAGCUGAAGUCAGUCGAAGAUACCAGCUGGCUGCAACUGUUUAUUAAAAACACAGCACUGUGCAAACACGAAAGUGGACGUAUACGGUGUGACGCCUGCCCGGUGCCGGAAGGUUAAUUGAUGGGGUCAGCGCAAGCGAAGCUCCUGAUCGAAGCCCCGGUAAACGGCGGCCGUAACUAUAACGGUCCUAAGGUAGCGAAAUUCCUUGUCGGGUAAGUUCCGACCUGCACGAAUGGCGUAAUGAUGGCCAGGCUGUCUCCACCCGAGACUCAGUGAAAUUGAACUCGCUGUGAAGAUGCAGUGUACCCGCGGCAAGACGGAAAGACCCCGUGAACCUUUACUAUAGCUUGACACUGAACAUUGAGCCUUGAUGUGUAGGAUAGGUGGGAGGCUUUGAAGUGUGGACGCCAGUCUGCAUGGAGCCGACCUUGAAAUACCACCCUUUAAUGUUUGAUGUUCUAACGUGGACCCGUUACCCGGGUUGCGGACAGUGUCUGGUGGGUAGUUUGACUGGGGCGGUCUCCUCCUAAAGAGUAACGGAGGAGCACGAAGGUUGGCUAAUCCUGGUCGGACAUCAGGAGGUUAGUGCAAUGGCAUAAGCCAGCUUGACUGCGAGCGUGACGGCGCGAGCAGGUGCGAAAGCAGGUCAUAGUGAUCCGGUGGUUCUGAAUGGAAGGGCCAUCGCUCAACGGAUAAAAGGUACUCCGGGGAUAACAGGCUGAUACCGCCCAAGAGUUCAUAUCGACGGCGGUGUUUGGCACCUCGAUGUCGGCUCAUCACAUCCUGGGGCUGAAGUAGGUCCCAAGGGUAUGGCUGUUCGCCAUUUAAAGUGGUACGCGAGCUGGGUUUAGAACGUCGUGAGACAGUUCGGUCCCUAUCUGCCGUGGGCGCUGGAGAACUGAGGGGGGCUGCUCCUAGUACGAGAGGACCGGAGUGGACGCAUCACUGGUGUUCGGGUUGUCAUGCCAAUGGCACUGCCCGGUAGCUAAAUGCGGAAGAGAUAAGUGCUGAAAGCAUCUAAGCACGAAACUUGCCCCGA
rnacentral:rRNA from 1 species